ACAAGAUGAGAUAUUCAGCUGGCACCAGUCCUAGAAGACUUGUACUCUUCUGCUGCGGAUUAAGCUUGCACUUACAUGUGCACCUCUGAU
rfam:Rachicladosporium antarcticum strain CCFEE 5527 scaffold_7, whole genome shotgun sequence.